CAGGGAUAGUGUGAGAAAUUAAUUUGGGGAGGUGUUUGGAGGGCAAAGAACAGAGGCAGGGAAACCAGAUAUGUGAAACGAUCCACGGAAAAAAGACCAGGAGCCUGAAUUAAGCAAAUGUCAUUGAGGUCACAAAGAUGAAAAGCAGGCACAGUCCCGGCCCUCAAAGGGCACACAGCAUCCCUGUACAAACUAGGAAGCACGAAAUUACUACUCUUGAUACCUGCAAUGCUGGAGAGGCUACAAAGCAAGGAAGAAGUAGCAACUGAGUUGAUUUUGCAGACGGCAGAGACGGAGGAGUGUGACUUCAGGAAGUGGCUACAGCCUGUGUGCGCUGGACCCGGAGUAGCAAGAUGCCUCAACAGCCCGGAGCACCGUUGGUAUUUUUACCUUCUUAUUUCGCUCUAAAAUUGGAAAAGUCAGUAAACCCCAAGGGAGAUUUAAACCAUCCUUUUCUCUAAUGUACAUUAUGUGUCUUUGAACUUCUAUUAAACAUUCUCCUGAAUUACUACUUUUGGAUUAUGAUAGGAUCAAUUUUGUGAGCACUUUUCUGUAUUACGAACCGUGACCAUGAG
rnacentral:lncRNA from 1 species